CGGUAGUUAUGUGACACAUGA
rnacentral:misc_RNA from 1 species